rfam:Spirochaetes bacterium RBG_13_51_14 RBG_13_scaffold_1032, whole genome shotgun sequence.
GGAGAGAUGCCCGAGCUGGCCGAAGGGGACGGUCUCGAAAAUCGUUGUGGGCUUUGCCCACCGAGGGUUCGAAUCCCUCUCUCUCCG